AAAUCAAGCCUUACUAGUAAAAAAAGGUGAUGAUAUUUUAUUACCAAAUGUGUUGCAGGUUCCAUCAUUCCAUCAAAAAGACUUCUGUCAUUACUGAAAAGCACAUUCAAAGUUGACUCUUCAGAUUCACCUUGUCUUGUUACCUAACCACUUUGUCACCUUUUUCUCUUGUUCACCCUCUGCCUUGGUACUGUCCUGCUUAAAGGUAAUUGAAAAUCAAGAAUCUGACUAAAAAUUUAUUAUUUUUCUUCAGCUGUCAUCACUGAAUUGCAGUACAGCUGCUCAAGAAGGAAUCAAAUGAAGCAGGCUGCAUGCCAUGUCUGUGUUGUUAAGAAGAGAAAUGGGAAGUAUUCACAGAUUAACUGCAGGGAGGUCAAUAAACAGACAUCGUACCAGGAAACAAGUGGAGAACGUGAUAGUCACACCUGCUGCAUUGGAUCUGUCACACAGCACUUUGAAGAUUUGAACUGCACCAUAUUAUGGGAAUCGUUUGGAGUCAUAAAAGAAGGAGUCGGUGUUGCAAGAGGAGGUAUGAUAAUGAAGCCUAAAGUCAGAGACUUAAUGCCUCAGUUCUUUGCUGAAUCAAAGCCUAAGACUGUGAGUUCUUUGAAACAGACUCUCCUCAAUUAGAGGCCUGCUCAGAACAUAAUAGAGCUAUGACAUACCUGGGGCCUCUGAGUCCUCUGUAACAAAUGGUUACGUACAUAAGCUUGAAGACAGCACCAGCUGCAGGAAUGCUACAGGUCCCUGGGAUCUAUCUCCUUCUCUCACGGCUCUUAGGUUUUUUAUUAUCUUCAAAUCUCUAUACCUUACUGCUUGUUCCAUUCCCCAGGUCCUUAAAGCAUUCUUUAAGCUAUAAAUAAAGAAGAUAAAAUUACAGGGUACUUACA
rnacentral:lncRNA from 1 species